rnacentral:rRNA from 1 species
GACGAACGCUGGCGGCGUGCCUAAUACAUGCAAGUCGAACGCACGAAGUUGAAGAGCUUGCUCUUUAACCAAGUGAGUGGCGGACGGGUGAGUAACACGUGGGUAACCUGCCCAUUAGAGGGGGAUAACAUUCGGAAACGGAUGCUAAUACCGCAUAGUUUCAGGAAUCGCAUGAUUCUUGAAGGAAAGGUGGCUUCGGCUACCACUAAUGGAUGGACCCGCGGCGUAUUAGCUAGUUGGUGAGGUAAUGGCUCACCAAGGCAAUGAUACGUAGCCGACCUGAGAGGGUGAUCGGCCACACUGGGACUGAGACACGGCCCAGACUCCUACGGGAGGCAGCAGUAGGGAAUCUUCCGCAAUGGACGAAAGUCUGACGGAGCAACGCCGCGUGAGUGAAGAAGGUUUUCGGAUCGUGAAACUCUGUUGUUAAAGAAGAACAAGGAUGGGAGUAACUGCUCAUCCCCUGACGGUAUUUAACCAGAAAGCCACGGCUAACUACGUGCCAGCAGCCGCGGUAAUACGUAUGGGGCGAGCGUUGUCCGGAAUUAUUGGGCGUAAAGGGUACGUAGGCGGCCUUUUAAGUCAGGUGUGAAAGCGUGAGGCUUAACCUCAUUAAGCACUUGAAACUGGAAGACUUGAGCGAAGGAGAGGAAAGUGGAAUUCCUAGUGUAGCGGUGAAAUGCGUAGAUAUUAGGAGGAAUACCGGUGGCGAAGGCGACUUUCUGGACUUUUACUGACGCUCAGGUACGAAAGCGUGGGGAGCAAACAGG